CUGGCUCAGGACGAACGCUGGCGGCGUGCUUAACACAUGCAAGUCGAGCGAGAAGCCAAUGUUUGAUUCUUCGGAAGAUUACUUUGGUGGAAAGCGGCGGACGGGUGAGUAACGCGUGGGCAGCCUACCUUAUACAGGGGGACAACAUCGGGAAACCGGUGCUAAUACCGCAUAACACAUUGAAAUGGAAUCAUUAUGAUGUCAAAGGAGGAAUCCGGUAUAAGAUGGGCCCGCGUCCAAUUAGCUAGUUGGUGAGGUAACGGCUCACCAAGGCGACGAUUGGUAGCCGAACUGAGAGGUUGAUCGGCCACAUUGGGACUGAGACACGGCCCAGACUCCUACGGGAGGCAGCAGUGGGGAAUAUUGCACAAUGGGGGAAACCCUGAUGCAGCAACGCCGCGUGAAGGAUGAAGGUCUUCGGAUUGUAAACUUCUUUGAUUGGGGAAGAAGAAGUGACGGUACCCAAAAAACAAGCCACGGCUAACUACGUGCCAGCAGCCGCGGUAAUACGUAGGUGGCAAGCGUUGUCCGGAAUUACUGGGUGUAAAGGGCGUGUAGGCGGGGAUGCAAGUCAGGUGUGAAAGCCCAUGGCUCAACUGUGGGACUGCAUCUGAAACUGAAUCUCUUGAGUACUGGAGAGGGAAGUGGAAUUCCUAGUGUAGCGGUGAAAUGCGUAGAGAUUAGGAGGAACACCAGUGGCGAAGGCGGCUUCCUGGACAGUAACUGACGCUGAGGCGCGAAAGCGUGGGGAGCGAACAGGAUUAGAUACCCUGGUAGUCCACGCCGUAAACGAUGGA
rnacentral:rRNA from 1 species